rnacentral:rRNA from 1 species
AUUGAACGCUGGCGGCAGGCUUAACACAUGCAAGUCGAGCGAGAGGCGGACGGGUGAGUAAUGUCUGGGAAACUGCCUGGGGGAGGGGGAUAACUACUGGAAACGGUAGCUAAUACCGCAUACCAUCGGAUGUGCCCAGAUGGGAUGAGCUAGUGGGAGGGGUAAUGGCUCACCUAGGCGACGAUCCCUAGCUGGUCUGAGAGGAUGACCCGCCACCCUGGAACUGAGACACGGUCCCGACUCCUACGGGAGGCAGCAGUGGGGAAUAUUGCACAAUGGGCGCAAGCCUGAUACAGCCAUGCCGCGUGUGUGAAGAAGGCCUUCGGGUUGUAAAGCACUUUCAGCGGGGAGGCGUUACUCGCAGAAGAAGCACCGGCUAACUCCGUGCCAGCAGCCGCGGUAAUUC